rnacentral:misc_RNA from 1 species
GAUAAGAACGUAGUGAAAUGCGAUAAGUAAUGUGAAUUGCAGAAUUCAGUGAAUCAUCGAAUCUUUGAACGCACAUUGCGCCCCUUGGUAUUCCGAGGGGCAUGCCUAUUCGAGCGUCAUUAUCACCCCUCAAGCCUAGCUUGGUGUUGAGGCCUGCUGUCAAGGCAGCCUCUAAAAUCAGUGGCAGUGCUGUCAGGCUCUAAGCGUAGUAAAUCUAAUCGCUAUAGACACCUGGUGGACACUCGCCAGAACCCCCCCCAUUUUUUAAUGAUUGACCUCGGAUUAGGUAGGGAUACCCGCUGAACUUAAGCAUAUCAAUAAGCGGAGGA